CGGGGCCCUCACGGUAGGUGGGGUGAGGUCAUCCUGGCUGCAAAAUGCAGGGACCAGACCAUCGGAGAAGUGGUGCAGGUAAAGGGGAUGGGGCCGCAGCAGAACGUAAAGGCAGAGGUGCUGGGGCCCCGCGUGUGGUAAGCGUUGCUGCUAGACGGGCUGCCCUCGCCCAGACGGUUAAACGACCCGCAGGGGAGCCAGGCGCCAAAUGACUAGUCAGAAGACAAACAUGCCGAGUGCCUGGCGGAGAACAAUUUUAGGAACUGGAGGCACUGACCGCCGCGGCAUUAGAAAAGGCGGUGCUGCUGCGGGAUGGAGAAGCAGCAGGCCCACUCGGCUUUGGUUGUGUGCUGGACCAACACAGGUUUCCACAAGGAGAGCUGACCUGUCGGUGGUGGCCUCCCCUAGCGACCCUGCUCUGGAAAUAACACCGCGGGGGUAGUGCCGGUAAAUCUGCCCCCAGAAAGCGGGCGCGGUGCCUGGGGCGGGAGCACAGCGCGAGGAGAGGUUACAGGAGGGGCCAGGCUGUCGAGUCCCCUCCCGGAGAGGAUAAAUAGCUACACCUUGCAAUGCACAAUUUGAGGGAAAUCAGAAGGAACAAAAAAGGCAGAUGAUGUCAAGGUAGAAAAGAAAGCGGGACGCCUCAGCGCUCGCAGAUGGAGGCAGCGAUCCAGAGCCGCCAUGAUGGGUGUGGUGGGCACGCAGGGGCUGUGGGGCUGCACCAGGCUGCGCGUGCACCCCCUCGCGCCCCUUUGUUGCUCAUGUUUCCCACAUGCUGCAGACACAGGUGCGUGUCUGUGCAAGCCCCCCAUCCUGGUUCAGGAACACGCCGUCAAGGUAGGACGCCUGUCUCGCCUGAGGUUAUCAGCCCGGGACAAGUUCACUUUGGUUUCAGUCACCGAAAAAUGACAACGGAACCUUGUGGAUAAAAGCGUUUAUACCCAGCUUUAUUCUCAUGGUGGCAGGUUAAGCGCUAGAAUCCCGUCUGCCCCUUGGCAAGUCUGCAUGCAGCACCCCAGUCUGUGCCGCCAGGCCACUCUACAGCCCCCGCGGUCCUGGGGGGAGCUCUUUAAAUAGACCCCUUAAUAGUCCCUUGCCAACACGUGCGCAGAGUCUGCGCCUGCGCGCACUGCACGUGCGCAGUGGGCGAGCAGACCAGGGUCCGGUGAGAAUCCUGGCCACGGAACUUCCGUUUUCACUACAGAGGCCCACCUGAGAUCAGAGGACGCAGGUCUCCGCAGACCAAGGAGUCGGACAGGAAGGCACACACCCCCAGCCACCCUGAGUGGCUGCGGAACUGUUGACCAGCCCGUCUUGGUGCCAGUGCUGGCAACGCGAUCCACUGCCCCAGCGAGAUGCCCGGAGGAGCCCGGGCUGUCAGCGAGGGAGUCCCAAACUUGGCCCCGCUGCUCAGUAGUAGCUCAGGGCCAUCUGGGCUCACGGUCUCCGCUGGUGACACUCGGCGGACAGCACCCGCAGCAGGCCCCACCCCGCGUCCGCUGCCCUCCCAUGCUGACGUUUCCUUUCCGCUGGUGAUUGUUGAUUCAGCUUUGUGUUUCCCUUUAACUUGGCGGGGCAGGUGUGCCCUUCUGGUUCUGGAGGCCACGUCAGGACCCCGAGGGAGCCCUCCGCUCUGGUCCUUGGCACCAACCACGUCGUGGCCUCCAUCCUGCCUGGACAGCAGCCCCAGUCCUGAGGCAUCGGGUUGCAGGGGUCUCCCGUGUGGCAGGCCCUAGCCUCAUCCCACCCACUGCUCCAGCGGCUGAUCCACGCCCUUUAGAAUCAGCCCUGAGGCGGAUUCGCAGCACAGGUGUCAGAACAAACAGGAGGUUGAAGGAAAGGCCUGUGGCGGCAGGGAGCGGAGAGCAGAGGUUCCCCACUGCCCGCAGUGAGAGCCCUGCCCACCAUGGCAGCCCCCUCCUCGGGCUGACCUGAUGAGAACUGUGCCCAGGACCCCCAGAUUCUGGUAGCACUCCUGGUACCCUGGACUUUCUAAAGUGCAAUUGACAGGUUUGUCAACAGGUUUAAUACUUUGCAUGACUUUGGGAGCUGAAGAAGGGAAAUCAUUAAAACUAGAAAACAUUUCACGGAAGAUACCGUUGUCGGACAUCAAGUGGGGGCUGCUCAUUGUUGCUGAAUUCCAGGUCAUUUCUGCCCACAAAAGUCACUUUAUCUGUUCCCACUGAUGCACAAAAAGGAGGCCUUGGGCUGAAUUUACACUCCAUUCAGCCCCCCAGGCCUCUGUAAUUUUCGCAUUGAACUUGGAAAGCAAACCUUCCCUCUGUCAGCAUCCUCUUGGGCUGGGGAGCCCGUGUCUCCCUGAUGGUGGUUCGCCACCCACCUCGGUCACUUCCUGACCCGGAGUCCCGCCGGAGCCCCUCUCCACUAGGGCUGGCCACUCAGCCCCUCUGACUCAUAUCCUUAUUAUUUUAGUAGGCUGUUUUUAGUGGUUUUAGAUUUACAGAGUAACUGAGCAGAGAGCACAGUUCCAGCUGCCCCUCCCCUCGGCACACUCCCCCCUGCCCCCCACCCACCUCCGGCAACCACUGAUCUUUUUACUGUCUCCAUAGUUUGGCCUUUUCCGGAAUGUUAUGUAGUGGGAAAUCUACAGAAUGUAGCCGUUUCAGACUGGCCUUGUUAGAAAAAGCAUAAAACCUAAAUGUGACUUAUUCCUACCAGGAGGUUUAAACGUUUUAGCAGUAAAGUAUUGACAAAAGGCCACGUGGUAAAAUAUAUGCCAGGAAGUUGCUCAGGCUGGGAGUUGGGAGGUGGGGCUGGGGGGAAUUGACAAGGAGCGGGUGUACCUAUUUGGGAAAAGAAAGAAGUUUUAAACCAGCCAAAAAAUUAAAAUAAAUGUAAAGGAAAGCCUCACAUGGAUAUAACUUGCUUAGGCGACGUCCAGGAAAGGAUGUGAACCCUGUAGUUCUCAGCCAAUGAGGAACCAGGGGAGGGACUCGCGUGCCAGGGAAUAAAUUACUUGCACCCAGUGCCCCAGGUGUGCCUGCCCACAGGACACCCGAUCCUGCAAGACCGUCAUUAGAGCCUCGCUCCGCUGUUCUCUGUCUGCCUGUCCGCUUACUGAAUUUGGACCGGCUGGAAGGACUCCUCGCCCAGACGCCCCCACCUGAGCCCUUCGCUCACUGCUUCCAGCCCGGGGACCUGGUGUUGGUAAAGUCCUGGAAAGAAGAUCAACUCCAGCCCAGCUGGGAAGGCCCCCUACCCAUGCUCCUGACCACGGAAAACGCAGUGAGGACGGCUGAAGAGGGCUGGACUCAUUACACCAGAAAAAAGAAACUGACGGAGGGAUCUGGGGACACAACAGAGAAUUGGCAGGUGUCCCAGGUGACUAACCAACGCUUAAAGCCAAAACUAAAAAGAACCUAAAAAUGUUAACUUUUUUCUUUCUAACUCUAUAUUUUACAGACAAGUCUCAAGGAGCCCUAGAAUGGGAAGGAACUCCUGGUUAUCCCAUCAAGCUGGUCACCAAUAUCACAAAGCCAUCAGGCCCCAAACCAUCAGGCUUGAUGCGUGUCAGGUUCUCCCGUGGGGUGACCUGAAUGGCCAAGGACAGCUUCCGGAGGUAGUAAGCGCCUCUGUCCUGAAUGGACGCAUGUUGACAAAGUGAACAGGCAGAUGGGCCCCGUGUCCAGGGUGGAGCAGUGCCUGGUGGACUGCCCAGUUUCAAGGGUGCACGGCCCCUCAUGCAGCAGGGAAACCUUUAACAGGAAAGCCCUGCGUGGCUGCAGGCAUUCCGCCUGAGACUUGCCAGGACAGGCAGCGUAAGCCCCUCUUGUUAACCACACAUAAUCCUUGAGACUUAGGCUCAGACCCUGUGAUUGCUCCUCGUGUUUAUGGACUCAGUGCAGAUGUCACUGAAUAGAUGCCGUGGGAGGGUUUGGUCUUAAUUUAAUCAAAGACAAGACUUCACCCACAGUGAUCACCCCCAAUCCUGAGGGAGAUAAUGAGCCAGAGCUUCCCUGUAAUGACCCUAAACUAGUUACUGAAACAGAGGUAAGGGAUGUGUAACAGACUCUUGAAAUUGAGACAGGUUAUGGAGACACCAAUACCUGGGUAGAAUGGGUCAAAUUUUCAGUACUCGCUCUGAACAAAAGCGAUUGCUACGCAUGUGCUGCAGGACAGCCACAGAUGCAGGUGGUCCCGCUCCCUCUCGGCUGGGGCACAGCCCCCACUGGGGUGAACUGCACAUUGGCCCUACGUCAGGACAAGGACGCUUGGGGAGAUGGGACCUGCAAGGGCUUGUCUCCACUCCUUCCUGCACUAAAGAAGUCAGCCCCGAGGGCAACCCCCUCCUUUUCCAUAGGGACGAUGAAUCACUCCUCAUGCCUCUCUAGGCAA